GUGUCAGCAGCCGCGGUAAUACGUAGGGUCCGAGCGUUAUCCGGUAUUAUUGGGCGUAAAGAGUACGUAGGCGGUUUGGUAAGACAAUGGUUAAAUCUCCGGGCUCAACCCGGAACCAGCCGUUGUGACUGCCAGACUAGUCGAGAGCAGGGGCAAGCGGAAUUGUCGGUGUAGGAGUGAAAUCCGUUGAGAUCGACAAGAACACCAAUGGCGAAGGCAGCUUGCUAGGCUCUAUGAGACGCUGAGGUACGAAAGCGUGGGGAGCGAACGGGAUUAGAAACCCCCGUAGUCC
rnacentral:rRNA from 1 species